rnacentral:rRNA from 1 species
UACGUAGGGGGCUAGCGUUGUCCGGAAUCAUUGGGCGUAAAGAGCGUGUAGGCGGUCUGUCGCGUCUGCUGUGAAAAUCCGGGGCUCAACCCCGGGCCUGCAGUGGGUACGGGCAGACUAGAGUGCGGUAGGGGAGACUGGAAUUCCUGGUGUAGCGGUGAAAUGCGCAAAUAUCAGGAGGAACACCGGUGGCGAAGGCGGGUCUCUGGGCCGUAACUGACGCUGAGGAGCGAAAGCGUGGGGAGCGAACAGG